rnacentral:tRNA from 1 species
GGAGACGUGGCAGAGUGGCAAACGCGGCACGCUGUAAACGUGUUGCCCUUCGGGGCUUCGGAGGUUCGAGUCCUUCCGUCUCCACCA